AUACGGAGGGUGCAAGCGUUAAUCGGAAUUACUGGGCGUAAAGCGCGCGUAGGCGGUUUGAUAAGUCGGAUGUGAAAGCCCCGGGCUCAACCUGGGAACUGCAUUCGAAACUGUCUGACUAGAGUAUGGUAGAGGGAAGUGGAAUUCCAGGUGUAGCGGUGAAAUGCGUAGAGAUCUGGAGGAACACCAGUGGCGAAGGCGGCUUCCUGGACCAAUACUGACGCUGAGGUGCGAAAGCGUGGGGAGCAAACAGGAUUAGAAACCCUAGUAGUCC
rnacentral:rRNA from 1 species